ensembl:lncRNA
CUGGGAGUAGCGCGAGGAAAAGAAGGGCGCUGGGUGAAGCAGUUGCUCAGGAUAUUUCUCUGGCAAUGGAUCGUCACAAACGUGUGAAAUGUUUGCCUGGGGAAAACACACAGAACGAAAUGUGAUGCCAGAGCUUACUGCUGUUUUGUCACAUGAGUGUUUUCGACUAAGAUAAGCCAACUUCCCAGAUUCCCAGAGAGAUUAUAUCUUCUGCUGCAGAUAGAGUACUCAGGAUGUAGCAGUCGAAAUAGAAAACUUCAGUAGGAAACUUCCUUUGGGAAGUCCUAACCUGUAUCUUGGGCGAAUCUAAGGUCCAGAAACAGGAUACAAUUUUCUCAAGGCAUCGUAUCUAUUUCAGCAGCACAACCAGACAAAAAUUUUGAGUUCUUGUUUAAUACCCAAGGUAUCAGAUAUGGUCCAGGAAUGGAGUCCUGUGAGAAGAUUUCUGAGUGCUUUAUCUCUAGCAUGGACUUUUGGAAAGUUCAUAUCUGUGCGAUGAAAACACCUGGUCAUUCACAGUACACUGGACACAACAAUAUAGCAGUAGCAGCCACAGCACCAGGAGCAGCAGCAGGAGCAAGGACACUGUAAUUGCAAGAAGUGAUCAAUAGCAACAGCAAAGAAAAACAUCAGAAAAUGGAAAUCUACCUAGAUGUCACUUGUAUCGAGGUGAUCCUUGGGAAAAGAUUUUAUAAUUAAGAGUCAUCUCAGAUAGAAAAUCUUAAUAAAUUUCAAGGCACAUCUGACCUACUGAAACGGAACCAAGAUGUUAGAAAAUGCUUAAGCAAACAAAUAAAAGUCAGAGAACUUCUAAUAGGAAGAAUAAAACUUGUAUCCUCAGAAUGGAGACUCCAAACUGGAAGUAAACACUAUGAAUUCUCCCCAAGGUUUAUAGAACAACUGUGUCCUGUGCUUUUUGGGAUGUUCCUUGAAGUAGAAAGAAAGGAUAGCAUCUAUAGGCACUCCAAGAAGUCAUUAUUAUGCCAUCCCAAAGUUGGAUAAUGACAAAAUAAGAAGCAAAAGUAUAACAGUAUACUUGAGCCCAAUCCUCAAUACAUGGCUAAGGAUAUGAAUCAAUGACCAAAGUACCUUCCAGGCAAACAUGAAGCCUCAGCUCUCUAGCACAAGUAUAAAAAGCCAGAUUUGAUGGUCAUUAUACCACCUUGUCCAUCAGACAUACCCUUGUGAUCAAAAUUAAAGUGUGAUUCUUUUUAUUAUUAAAUACUUAGCCAUUACAUUAUUAUGUUUUGUGUGUAUUCAGGAUUCUUUCAGCUCCAGCAUUCUGUAUGUCACUGAAACAAUAUUUCUGGCAUAAUGUCAGAAAUUUGUCUCUCUCUUGUUUUUCUGAGCUUAUAAUUGAUAUUUCUUCUCUGUGGCACAGUCAUUGGUGUGUUGCCAUGACUUCCAUGACUGUUGGCAUCUUUGUGGCAUCUAACACCAUAUCUGAUGGCUGAGAACCCUCAGUUUCUGAGAGGUAAUGAGGAGUUAGUGGAC